ACCUAGGCUUGACAUGUAGAGAAACGCCCAAGAAAUUGGGAAGUGCCCGCAAGGGAACUCUAACACAGGUGCUGCAUGGUUGUCGUCAGCUCGUGCCUUGAGGUGUUCGGUUAAGUCCGUUAACGAGCGCAACCCAUGUCGUUAGUUAUAAUGUCUAACGAGACUGCCUAAGUUAAUUAGGAGGAAGGUGUGGAUGACGUCAAAUCAGCAUGACCCUUAUGCCUAGGGCCACACACAUGAUACAAUGGUCGGUACAAAAGCAGCAAUAUGGUAACAUAGAGCUAAUCUAAAAGCCGAUCUCAGUCCGGAUUGAGGUCUGAAACUCGACCUCAUGAAGUUGGAAUUGCUAGUAAUCGUGAAUCAGAUAUGUCACGGUGAAUAUGUUCCUGGGUCUU
rnacentral:rRNA from 1 species